CCUGAACGCCACCGUCCACUGCUCAGUCCACUCUGACGCAGCUCAAAGUGGACGCAGUGCUGUCAUCAUUGGCCAUGUUUUAAUUCCGACCACUGGAGUUGGUCAGAAUCAGAUCUGAAGUUUUGACUUAUUCCAUUAUUUCAACAGGAUUUCCAGAGAAAAGGAGGUUUAAUGUCUGCAGCUGGACUGUUAUUGUGCGGACUCAGCAGGAUGUGCAGGGACACUUGAUGAGCUCCUCAAACAUCAGAAACCAUCAACUAUCGCAGCAUAUAGCAUGCAUCAGUAUGAAGCCCUCAACCACAGCCAUUUCGCACUACCUGGACGCCUCAUUUGUCUCUGGUUAAAGAAACUCCCCGGCCAAACUGACCGACCAAAGGCUUCCUAAUUAUCCCCAUCACUAGAUCAGUUACACUCAACAUCAAUAAGUGUGUCAUUUGAAGAAAAAAACAGAAAAAUGAAGUACAACUCACAAAAUAAAAGUCAGGUUUAUUGUUGAACAACAAACUUCACACACACAAACAGGCCAAGGUAAAACAAAUAUGCAGACAAAAAAGAAAGAAAAGUAAGAACUCCUUUUCUUUGGCCUAGCCCUCCCAUA